rnacentral:rRNA from 1 species
UACGUAGGGUGCAAGCGUUAAUCGGAAUUACUGGGCGUAAAGCGUGCGCAGGCGGUUUUGUAAGUCUGUCGUGAAAUCCCCGGGCUCAACCUGGGAAUGGCGAUGGAGACUGCAAGGCUAGAGUUUGGCAGAGGGGGGGUAGAAUUCCACGUGUAGCAGUGAAAUGCGUAGAGAUGUGGAGGAACACCGAUGGCGAAGGCAGCCCCCUGGGUCAAAACUGACGCUCAUGCACGAAAGCGUGGGGAGCAAACAGG